GACGAACGCUGGCGGCGUGCUUAACACAUGCAAGUCGAGCGGUAAGGCCCUUUCGGGGGUACACGAGCGGCGAACGGGUGAGUAACACGUGGGUGACCUGCCCUCAGCUCUGGGAUAAGCCUGGGAAACCGGGUCUAAUACUGGAUAUGACUCCAUGACGCAUGUUGUGGGGUGGAAAGCCUUGUGCGGCUGAGGAUGGGCCCGCGGCCUAUCAGCUUGUUGGUGGGGUGANGGCCUACCAAGGCGACGACGGGUAGCCGGCCUGAGAGGGCGACCGGCCACACUGGGACUGAGACACGGCCCAGACUCCUACGGGAGGCAGCAGGUGGGGAAUCUUGCGCAAUGGGCAAAGCCUGACGCAGCGACGCCGCGUGAGGGAUGACGGCCUGG
rnacentral:rRNA from 1 species